rnacentral:lncRNA from 1 species
GAUAUAUUAUUGUCAAAUCUUCCGACAGAAUGUCAUUUCGACAAACCGAUAUCUCGAAAAGACUUGUAGGUUAUUUAAACCCUAACCCUUAGGGUUUCGUCGGGUGAAUAGUGUAUAUUUCGUCUUUUUUCUCGAAAAUAUUUUUGUUCUCGAAAAUUUUUUAUUUUCGUCUUGGAAUUUCUUACUCGUUCGGUCUAGCUCGUAGCCAGAAUCCUCUUAUCUUAUAAUCAUCCUAGGACCUAGAACGAUUAAUAAACACAUAGCACGUAAUAUUAUUAAUAAAAUUCAUUUUAUUAAUAACUAAUUCGUUAAACUUAAAUUUUGGACCAUCCGAUUUUUCGAGUUGUCACAAUGUUCUCAAGGAUAAGAACACACUCCUGAGUAAUCAAUGGGAAAGAGAAACAGAAAUAAGAAGGGAAAAAAACAGAAAGAGAGAAAAGCACAUUCCAACAGUACAACUUCUGAAAAACAAUUGGAAGAAAUGCAUAAAUAAAUCAAGAAACUUAAAUGUAAUUCUACCACACCCAUAAAAUUCAUCAGAGAUAUGUAGGCUACAAAAUAUAGGUUUAACGCUCCUCAUUUUAGAAUCUCAUUGAAGGAAAAUGCUAAACAGCUAUUUACUACUGCCACUAAAGUCAUACUUUUCUAUAGUUCGACACCACGUGUUGAUAAUAUAAAUGUGCGCGUGGGGAUAAACCGCGUAGGACUGAGCAAGUAACCAAAUUGAAAUCGAAACCGCACCAAAAACUGCACGAACCGCACCAACGGUUUCGGGGUAUGUGGCGGUUUUAAUUUUUGGGAAACUAAAUAAACCUUCUUUCUUGCUUGUUAUCGAAUAUAUGGUCUCCGUUGUUUUAUGUAGCGUAUGUUUUAGUUUUAAAGCAUCAUUCCUUUAUUAUAAACUAAAACUAUUUUACGUGUUUCAUUGUUCUAUGAUUUGAUGGUGAAUUUGACAUGUUUGGCAAAAGGAACUUCGGUUCUAUGCUUGAUAUAAUUCUCAUUGCCGACUCUGUCACUAAGUUAAUUGCUCGAUGUGAGUUCUAUGUUAAAUUAUAUUAAAGGCUUAGAUCUUUUUGUUGUUUCAAUUGAUUUUGGAACCGAAACCGCAUCAAUUCAAAC